rfam:Suillus luteus TH-Slu-Lm8-n1 unplaced genomic scaffold CY34scaffold_6, whole genome shotgun sequence.
GGGCACUUGGCACAGUUGGUAGCGCGCACGCUUCGCAUAUAGAUUGCGUGAGGUCGUGGGUUCAACUCCCACAGUGUCCA